rnacentral:rRNA from 1 species
UACGGGGGGGGGCAAGCGUUGUUCGGAAUUACUGGGCGUAAAGGGCUCGUAGGCGGCCAACUAAGUCAUACGUGAAAUCCCUCGGCUUAACCCGGGGAACUGCGUCUGAUACUGGAUGGCUUGAGUUCGGGAGAGGGAUGCGGAAUUCCAGGUGUAGCGGUGAAAUGCGUAGAUAUCAGGAGGAACACCGAUGGCGAAGGCAGGUCUCUGGGCUGACACUGACGCUCAUGCACGAAAGCGUGGGGAGCAAAC